GACGAACGCUGGCGGCGUGCUUAACACAUGCAAGUCGAACGGAAAGGCCCUGCUUUUGUGGGGUGCUCGAGUGGCGAACGGGUGAGUAACACGUGAGUAACCUGCCCUUGACUUUGGGAUAACUUCAGGAAACUGGGGCUAAUACCGGAUAGGAGCUCCUGCUGCAUGGUGGGGGUUGGAAAGUUUCGGCGGUUGGGGAUGGACUCGCGGCUUAUCAGCUUGUUGGUGGGGUAGUGGCUUACCAAGGCUUUGACGGGUAGCCGGCCUGGGAGGGUGAACGGCCACAUGAGGACUGAGAUACGGCGCAGUCUCGUACGGGAGGCAGCAGGGGGGAAUAUUGCACAGUGGGCGGGAGCCUGAUGAGGCAACGCCGCGUGCGGGAUGACGGCCUUCGGGUUGUAAAGCGCUUUAGCCUGUGACGAAGCGUGAGUGACGGUAAUGGGUAAAGAAGCACCGGCUAACUACGUG
rnacentral:rRNA from 1 species